rnacentral:rRNA from 1 species
GACAGAGGGUGCAAACGUUGCUCGGAAUUACUGGGCGUAAAGCGCAUGUAGGCGGCUCUGUAAGUCGGAUGUGAAAGCCCUCGGCUUAACCGGGAAGUAGCGCAUUCGAAACUGACAGUCUUGAGUAUGGAAGAGGGUCGCGGAAUUCCCGGUGUAGAGGUGAAAUUCGUAGAUAUCGGGAGGAACACCAGUGGCGAAGGCGGCGACCUGGGCCAAUACUGACGCUGAGGUGCGAAAGCGUGGGGAGCAAACAGG